rnacentral:rRNA from 1 species
AGAGUUUGAUCAUGGCUCAGAACGAACGCUGGCGGCAGGCUUAACACAUGCAAGUCGAACGCGUGUAGCAAUACACGAGUGGCGCACGGGUGAGUAACGCGUGGAUAUCUGCCUUUUGGUUCGGAAUAACCCCGGGAAACUGGGGCUAAUACCGGAUGGUUCCUUCGGGAUAAAGAUUUAUCGCCAAAAGAUGAGUCCGCGUACGAUUAGCUAGUUGGUGAGGUAAUGGCUCACCAAGGCGACGAUCGUUAGCUGGUCUGAGAGGACGAUCAGCCACACUGGGACUGAGACACGGCCCAGACUCCUACGGGAGGCAGCAGUGGGGAAUAUUGGACAAUGGGGGCAACCCUGAUCCAGCCAUGCCGCGUGAGUGAUGAAGGCCUUCGGGUUGUAAAGCUCUUUUGGCGGGGACGAUGAUGACGGUACCCGCAGAAUAAGCCCCGGCUAACUUCGUGCCAGCAGCCGCGGUAAGACGAAGGGGGCUAGCGUUGUUCGGAAUUACUGGGCGUAAAGCGCGUGUAGGCGGUUAUCCAAGUCGGGUGUGAAAGCCUUGAGCUCAACUCAAGAAAUGCACUCGGUACUGGGUGACUAGAGGACCGGAGAGGAUAGUGGAAUUCCCAGUGUAGUGGUGAAAUACGUAGAGAUU